rnacentral:rRNA from 1 species
CUUUUUUUGGUAUGUAUAUGAAGUAUAACCUGCCCAAUGAUAUUUAAAUGGCCGCGGUAUAUUGACCGUGCAAAGGUAGCAUAAUCAUUAGUUUCUUAAUUAGAAGCUGGAAUGAAUGGUUGGACGAGAUAAGAACUGUCUUUUUAUUAUUAAAGUAGAAUUUAGGUUUUAUGUUAAAAAACUUAAAUGGUUUUUUGGGACGAGAAGACCCUAUAGAAUUUAAAUAAUUAUUGUUAAUGGUUAGUUAAUUUUAAUUUUGUGAUAAUUAUUUUAUUGGGGUGAUAUGGAGAUAUAAUUAACUCUUUUUGAAAUAUUAAAUAUUGAUAUAUAGGAAGUAUUUGAUCUAUUAUUAUUGAUUAAAAGAUUAAAUUACC